rnacentral:rRNA from 1 species
CCUACGGGUGGCAGCAGUGAGGAAUAUUGGUCAAUGGACGAGAGUCUGAACCAGCCAAGUAGCGUGAAGGAUGACUGCCCUACGGGUUGUAAACCUCUUUUAUAAAGGAAUAAAACGACGCACGUGUGCCUUUUUGCAUGUACUUUAUGAAUAAGGAUCGGCUAACUCCGUGCCCGCAGCCACGGUAAUACGGAGGAUCCGAGCGUUAUCCGGAUUUAUUGGGUUUAAAGGGAGCGUAGAUGGGUUGUUAAGUCAGUUGUGAAAGUUUGCGGCUCAACCGUAAAAUUGCAAUUGAUACUGGCAGUCUUGAGUACAGUUGAGGUAGGCGGAAUUCGUGGUGUAGCGGUGAAAUGCAUAGAUAUCACGCAGAACUCCGAUUGCGAAGGCAGCAUACCGGCGCCCAACUGACGCUGAAGCACGAAAGCGUGGGUAUCGAACAGGAUUAGAUACCCGGGUAGUC